GCAUCAGCAGCUCCAUGCUCCAGCGCUCUGGGAGAGUUUAUAGUCCUGACAGUUGAACACUGGAUGACUGACAGCUGUCCUUCAUCACAGCAGAAGACACAGAAAUCCUCCUCAUCAUCAGAAACAUGACUUUGAUCUGCGUCUUCAUCUGGACUCUCCUCUGCUGCUGCUUCACAGAGGUCAGAGGUCAGGUCACUGUGACUCAGCAGCCUGCAGCAGUGAGAGCUGAUCUGGGAGGAUCUGCCACCAUCAACUGUAGAACCAGUCAGGAUGUUUAUUAUUAUCGUAGUUGUUCCUGCUAUCUUUUAGCCUGGUACCAACAGAAAGAUGGACAAACUCCUAAGCUCCUCAUUGAUCGUACCAGCACUCGAGCAUCAGGGACUCCAAGUCGUUUUACAGGCAGUGGAUCAAACUCUGACUUCACUCUGACCAUCAGUGGAGUUCAGGCUGAAGAUGCUGCAGUUUAUUACUGCCAGAGUCUUCAUUACCCCAAUAGCCAGUAUGUGUUCACACAGUGAAAAACAGCCGUACAAAAACCAAAAGUGUCACAACUGAUGUAACUGGAAGCUGCUAUAGAGCGACACCACAUGGGCCCAAAAAUGCUGUCAAACAAAUUGCAUAACUUUAUUUGAGAGCUUUGAUGUCUUUCUCCUUUUACUACAAAAAAUUGUUUAAAUUAUUUAUUCACACCUAGAACAUGAUUAGCAUUGCUGCUAUUUUUAAAGUCAGCUGGAGAAUAGGAAACUAAGAUUAAAAUAAACACAAAUACAUCUAAAGUAAUUAUUCAUGUUUCUAAAAUUCAAAUAAUGAAG